CAAAGGCUUGGUCCUGACCUUGCUAACAGCUUUAGUCAAAAUUACACAUGCAAGUAUCCGCACCCCCGUGAGAAUGCCCUAUAAUCCCCGCCCGGGAAAUAGGAGCUGGUAUCAGGCACACACCCGUAGCCCACAACGCCUUGCUUAGCCACACCCCCAAGGGAACUCAGCAGUGAUAAACCUUAAGCCAUAAGUGAAAACUUGACUUAGUUAUGACUAAUAAGGGCCGGUAAAUGCUUGUGCCAGCCACCGCGGUUAUACGAGUGGCCCAAGUUGUUAGCCCUCGGCGUAAAGAGUGGUUAGAGCGACACACACAACACUGAGGCCGAACACCUUCAGAGCAGUGAUACGCUUCCGAAGGCAUGAAGCACACCCACGAAAGUAGCCUCACCCAACUUGAACCCACGAAAGCUAAGACACAAACUGGGAUUAGGUACCCCACUAUGCUUAGCCCUAAACAACGACACCAAUUACACCAAAACUCCGCCAGGGUACUACGAGCAUUAGCUUGAAACCCAAAGGACUUGGCGGUGCUUUAAGACCAUCUAGAGGAGCCUGUUCUAGAAUCGAUAAUCCCCGUUAAACCUCACCUCUCCUUGCUCUCCCAGCUUAUAUACCGCCGUCGUCAGCCUACCCUGUGAAGGGUUAAUAGUAGGCAAAGUUAGUACUACCCAAAACGUCAGGUCCAGGCGUAGCUUAUGGAGAGGGAAGAAAUGGGCUACAUUCUCUGCCCAGAGAAUACGAACCUUGUGCUGAAACGCACAUUUAAAGGAGGAUUUAGCAGUAAGCAAGAAACAGAGAGUCUCGCUGAAACCGGCUAUAAAGCGCGCACACACCGCCCGUCACUCUCCCCAAAAUACCCCACCACCACCAAAAUAACUAAUAAAAUACACACAUUACAGGGGAGACAAGUCGUAACAUGGUAAGCGUACCGGAAGGUGCGCUUGGAAUAUC
rnacentral:ncRNA from 1 species